UACGUAGGGCGCAAGCGUUGUCCGGAAUUAUUGGGCGUAAAGAGCUCGUAGGCGGUUUGUCGCGUCUGCUGUGAAAACUCGAGGCUCAACCUCGGGCUUGCAGUGGGUACGGGGCAGACUAGAGUGCGGUAGGGGUGACUGGAAUUCCUGGUGUAGCGGUGGAAUGCGCAGAUAUCAGGAGGAACACCGAUGGCGAAGGCAGGUCACUGGGCCGCAACUGACGCU
rnacentral:rRNA from 1 species